rnacentral:lncRNA from 1 species
AUGCAAGGUGUUCAACCGUUGGGCAAAGAAACCGAAGCGGUUGGUGUGCUAGAAUCUAGGUGAGUUCGUCUUACAACUGCGACCGUAAUGCAUUGUUUUGUUGAUGAAUAUUUAUUUAGAUUCGUUUUAUAUUCACAGCAUGCACUCCUUGAGCAUUGCUGAAGAGGAGCAGCAUGACUCUCUGGAUGAGGAGGAGGCAAAUUAUAUGAGGAAUAGCAUGUAAGUCUUGCACAUGAAACCAUCUUAGUUCGUGUUCUUUUGUGCUUCAAGUUUUGUGUUGUGGGUGUGUGUGUGUUUUGUAAAUCAUUUUUAUUUACAGUAUUGACAUGGAUGAUUGCUGGGAGGAUCCUAAUCAGAAGGGCUUGGAAGAAGAUCGGGACAGCUCUGAUGAACACUAUAGUCCUUUUCUUCAUCUACGUGCCCCAGCUAUGACUGCCAAAAUCAACCAACUCCUGGAGAUAAGCAUGGAUAAAGCCGUGCUUGAUGUGGCAACACCCAAUCCUCCAGGUGAGGACAUACAAGAAACUCCAGAACAACAAAAAGUUUCAGGACAACUUCAGAUUUGGAGAAUUUCCAAAACCACAUACUCAUGUAUGCAGGAAGCGGUUUGCCUACAGCCACCCUGUUUACAAAACCCAGACAUCGCUUGCAGCAAUCAAUUACAACUAUCACAACCACCGCAUUCCUGCACGUGGC